UUUUAUGGAGAGUUUGAUCCUGGCUCAGGACGAACGCUGGCUGCGUGCUUAACACAUGCAAGUCGAACGCUGAAGCCCGAAGCUUGCUUCGGGUGGAUGAGUGGCGAACGGGUGAGUAACACGUGAGUAACCUGCCCCUGAUUUCGGGAUAAGCCUGGGAAACCGGGUCUAAUACCGGAUACGACCAUCCCUCGCAUGAGGGUUGGUGGAAAGUUUUUCGAUCGGGGAUGGGCUCGCGGCCUAUCAGCUUGUUGGUGGGGUAAUGGCCUACCAAGGCGACGACGGGUAGCCGGCCUGAGAGGGCGACCGGCCACACUGGGACUGAGACACGGCCCAGACUCCUACGGGAGGCAGCAGUGGGGAAUAUUGCACAAUGGGGGAAACCCUGAUGCAGCGACGCAGCGUGCGGGAUGACGGCCUUCGGGUUGUAAACCGCUUUCAGCAGGGAAGAAGCGAAAGUGACGGUACCUGCAGAAGAAGUACCGGCUAACUACGUGCCAGCAGCCGCGGUAAUACGUAGGGUACGAGCGUUGUCCGGAAUUAUUGGGCGUAAAGAGCUCGUAGGUGGUUGGUCACGUCUGCUGUGGAAACGCAACGCUUAACGUUGCGCGUGCAGUGGGUACGGGCUGACUAG
rnacentral:rRNA from 1 species